rnacentral:rRNA from 1 species
GACCCGUAAUCCGGGUUGCGGACAGUGUCUGGUGGGUAGUUUGACUGGGGCGGUCUCCUCCUAAAGAGUAACGGAGGAGCACGAAGGUUGGCUAAUCCUGGUCGGACAUCAGGAGGUUAGUGCAAUGGCAUAAGCCAGCUUGACUGCGAGCGUGACGGCGCGAGCAGGUGCGAAAGCAGGUCAUAGUGAUCCGGUGGUUCUGAAUGGAAGGGCCAUCGCUCAACGGAUAAAAGGUACUCCGGGGAUAACAGGCUGAUACCGCCCAAGAGUUCAUAUCGACGGCGGUGUUUGGCACCUCGAUGUCGGCUCAUCACAUCCUGGGGCUGAAGUAGGUCCCAAGGGUAUGGCUGUUCGCCAUUUAAAGUGGUACGCGAGCUGGGUUUAGAACGUCGUGAGACAGUUCGGUCCCUAUCUGCCGUGGGCGCUGGAGAACUGAGGGGGGCUGCUCCUAGUACGAGAGGACCGGAGUGGACGCAUCACUGGUGUUCGGGUUGUCAUGCCAAUGGCACUGCCCGGUAGCUAAAUGCGGAAGAGAUAAGUGCUGAAAGCAUCUAAGCACGAAACUUGCCCCGAGAUGAGUUCUCCCUGACUCCUUGAGAGUCCUGAAGGAACGUUGAAGACGACGACGUUGAUAGGCCGGGUGUGUAAGCGCAGCGAUGCGUUGAGCUAACCGGUACUAAUGAACCGUGAGGCUUAACCUU